rnacentral:lncRNA from 7 species
AUGACAAAAAGCAACCUUGCAGGAAUGGAGGACUCUGGCCAGAGCUGUGCCCCUGCUUGCCACAGGAGCUGCGCGGGAGGAGAAGAAUGUGGGCCAAAAGGAAUGGAGGACUCUGGCCAGAGCUGUGCCCCUGCUUGCCACAGGAGCUGCGCGGGAGGAGAAGAAUGUGGGCCAAAAGGUAAGAGGAGCUCCUUUGGGUUCUGGGCUUGAAGCAAAGCUGAGAAGCCAUGCCCGGGAGGAGGUGUGGGUAGCUACAGGCCACCUUGCUAUCUCCCCAAGAGAUGAGGUGUGUGGGCUAGGCACCGGGCAGGAGUGCUGGCCAGAAGCAAGCAUCUCUGUGGAGGAAGGCAAAGGGCGGAGGAGGUUCAAGGGUAGCUACCGGGCAUGGCCUUGCUCAGCAAGGGGAGGAAAAGCGUGAAGGGCACGAGAAGGGGACAGAGAAGGGCAGGCAGUAGGCGUGAAGCUGUGAGCAGAGUAGAGAGCAACUUGGCAGAGCAGCACGCAGAGUAGGCAAGUGUUGGGGUUUGGCGUGAGUAGCAGCAAAAGCCCAUAGCAUCAAGAAGCAGGAAGUGAGGAGAAGGUAAGUGAAGGGCAGGCAAGGUACUGGGAGGCAAAGGCAAGGGGAAAGGGGAGGGUAAGGGAGAAAGAGGGGAUGGGGAGGGGAGGGGAUGGGUGAAGAGCAGAGCGGAGGGAAGGGCUGAGGGGAGGGCUGAAGGCAAACCUGUGAUGAAAAAAGAAAAGAAAAGAAAAAAUAAGAACAAAAAAUAUGAAAAAAGAGAAAAAAGAAAAGAAAAAUAAGAAAAAGAGAAAAAAUGAAAAGAAAAAAAGAAAAAAUGAAUGAAAAAGAGAAAAAAGAUAAAAGAAAAAAGAAAUGAACAAAAAGAAAAAAAGAGAAAAGAAAGAAAAAAGAAAAAAAAGAAAAAAGAGAAAAAAAAAAAAAAAAAAAAAAAAAGAAAAGAAAAAAGAGAAAAUAGAAAUAAAAAAGAGAAAAGAGAAAAAUAUGAAAAAAAGAAAAAAGAAAAAAGAAAAGAAAAAACUAAUAGAUGAAAACAGAAAAAACAAACAAAAAACCGAAUAAUGACAAGAGAAGAAAGGUAAAGAGAAAAGAAGAAAAAAGCCAAGUGAAAAAGUAAAGAAUAACUCAAAGGAAGGAGUGGAUGGCAAGAAAUACAGAGAAAGCAAUGCAUAGCAGAGCAAAGGAAAGCAAGGCAAAAUAGCAGCCAAAGCCACGAGAAUCAAGAAGUCAGUGAAGAGCAGGAAAGGUAAGUUUCCCUUAAAGCAAGGGGGAAUGGUAGUGGAUGGGGGCAAAAGAGAGGGGAGGGGAGGGGAAGUGAAGGAGAGGGGGGAGAGGGGGAGGAGCAGUGGGGCUAGAGGGGGGUGAGGGGGGCGAGAGGGGGGAGGGAGGAGGGGUGGAGAGGGGGCAGAGGUGAGGGGGGGUGAGUAAGUGGGGGUGUGGGUGGCUGGGGGGGGAGAGGAGAGAGGGUAGGAAGGAAAAAAUUGGAGGUAGGGUGAGGGAAGGGGGAGGGUUGAAGGGAAACUAAUGAAACAGAGGACAAAGGAGAAUAACAAGUCAAAAGCAAUGCAUGUAAAUACAGAGCAAGCAAGUAGGAAAGCUAGGCAUAGCACAGCAAAAGAGAGCACAGCAACAGAAGGCAAAGAAUGACAAAAAGCAACCUUGCAGGAAUGGAGGACUCUGGCCAGAGCUGUGCCCCUGCUUGCCACAGGAGCUGCGCGGGAGGAGAAGAAUGUGGGCCAAAAGGUAAGAGGAGCUCCUUUGGGUUCUGGGCUUGAAGCAAAGCUGAGAAGCCAUGCCCGGGAGGAGGUGUGGGUAGCUACAGGCCAGCUUGCUAUCUCCCCAAGAGAUGAGGUGUGUGGGCUAGGCACCGGGCAGGAGUGCUGGCCAGAAGCAAGCAUCUCUGUGGAGGAAGGCAAAGGGCGGAGGAGGUUCAAGGGUAGCUACCGGGCAUGGCCUUGCUCAGCAAGGGGAGGAAAAGCGUGAAGGGCACGAGAAGGGGACAGAGAAGGGCAGGCAGUAGGCGUGAAGCUGUGAGCAGAGUAGAGAGCAACUUGGCAGAGCAGCACGCAGAGUAGGCAAGUGUUGGGGUUUGGCGUGAGUAGCAGCAAAAGCCCAUAGCAUCAAGGAGCAGGAAGUGAGGAGAAGGUAAGUGAAGGGCAGGCAAGGUACUGGGAGGCAAAGGCAAGGGGAAAGGGGAGGGUAAGGGAGAAAAGAGGGGAUGGGGAGGGAGGGGAUGGGUGAAGAGCAGAGCGGAGGGAAGGGCUGAGGGGAGGGCUGAAGGCAAACCUGUGAUGAAAAAAGAAAAGAAGAGAAAAAAUAAGAACAAAAAAUAUGAAAAAAGAAAAAAGAAAAGAAAAAUAAGAAAAAGAGAAAAAAUGAAAAGAAAAAAAGAAAAAUGAAUGAAAAAGAGAAAAAAGAUAAAGACAAAAAGAAAAUGAACACAAAGAAAAAAGAAAAAGAAAAAAAAAUGAACAAAAAGAAAAAAAGAAAAAAAAAAAGAAAAGAUAAAAAAGAAGAAAGAAAAAAGAAAAAUAAAAAAAAAGAGAAAAGAGAAAAAUAUGAAAAAAGAAAAAAAAAAAGAAAAGAAAAAACUAAUAGAUGAAAACAGAAAAAACAACAAAAAACCGAAUAAUGACAAGAGAAGAAAGGUAAAGAGAAAAGAAGAAAAAAGCCAAGUGAAAAAGUAAAGAAUAACUCAAAGGAAGGAGUGGAUGGCAAGAAAUACAGAGAAAGCAAUGCAUAGCAGAGCAAAGGAAAGCAAGGCAAAAUAGCAGCCAAAGCCACGAGAAUCAAGAAGUCAGUGAAGAGCAGGAAAGGUAAGUUUCCCUUAAAGCAAGGGGGAAUGGUAGUGGAUGGGGGCAAAAGAGAGGGGAGGGGAGGGGAAGUGAAGGAGAGGGGGGAGAGGGGGAGGAGCAGUGGGGCUAGAGGGGGGUGAGGGGGGCGAGAGG